AUACGUAGGUGGCGAGCGUUAUCCGGAUUUACUGGGUGUAAAGGGCGCGCAGGCGGCCCUGGAAGUCAGAUGUGAAAGAUCAAGGCUUAACUUUGACAGGUCAUCUGAAACUUUGGGGCUUGAGUAUCAGAGGGGAAAGUGGAAUUCCUAGUGGAGCGGUAAAAUGCACAGAGAUUAGGAGGAACACCGGUGGCGAAGGCGACUUUCUGGCUGACAACUGACGCUGAGGCGCGAAAGCGUGGGGAGCAAACAGGAUUAGAUACCCUGGUAGUCCACGCCGUAAACGAUGAUUACUGGGUGUAGGGAGUAUCGACUCUCUCUGUGCCGAAGCAAACGCGAUAAGUAAUCCACCUGGGGAGUACGGCCGCAAGGCUAAA
rnacentral:rRNA from 1 species